rnacentral:rRNA from 1 species
UACGAACGCUGGCGGCAUGCCUAACACAUGCAAGUCGAACGAGAUCUUCGGGUCUAGUGGCGCACGGGUGCGUAACGCGUGGGAAUCUGCCCUUUGGUUCGGAAUAACAGUUGGAAACGACUGCUAAUAUCGGAUGAUGACGAAAGUCCAAAGAUUUAUCGCCAGAGGAUGAGCCCGCGUAGGAUUAGCUAGUUGGUGUGGUAAAGGCGCACCAAGGCGACGAUCCUUAGCUGGUCUGAGAGGAUGAUCAGCCACACUGGGACUGAGACACGGCCCAGACUCCUACGGGAGGCAGCAGUGGGGAAUAUUGGACAAUGGGCGAAAGCCUGAUCCAGCAAUGCCGCGUGAGUGAUGAAGGCCUUAGGGUUGUAAAGCUCUUUUACCCGGGAUGAUAAUGACAGUACCGGGAGAAUAAGCUCCGGCUAACUCCGUGCCAGCCGCCGCGGUAAAAC